rnacentral:rRNA from 1 species
UGCACACACUGUAGUCCUGGAUACCUCUCGCCGCAAGGCGGAUGCGGAGUUUGCGCAAGCUCACUCUGAAUUUCCAGGUCUAUGAUUUUACAAACCCCAAUUGAAUGUUACAGAAUGUUAUCAUAAGGCCUCGUGCCUAUAAAUUAUACAACUUUCAGCAACGGAUCUCUUGGCUCUCGCAUCGAUGAAGAACGCAGCGAAAUGCGAUAAGUAAUGUGAAUUGCAGAAUUCAGUGAAUCAUCGAAUCUUUGAACGCACCUUGCGCUCCUUGGUAUUCCGAGGAGCAUGCCUGUUUGAGUGUCAUUAAAUUCUCAACCUCACCAAUUUUGUAAUGAAGUUGUGUGUAGGCUUGGAUGUGGGGGUUGCAGGUCCACUCUGUGGUCUGCUCCUCUGAAAUGUAUUAGUGGGUUUGGCCCCUAAUCUAUUGGUGUGAUAAUUAUCUACGCCGUGGAUUGGAAGGCUGUUACGACCUGCUUCUAACCGUCCUUCACUGGACAACUCUUGACAUUUUUGACCUCUAAUCAGGUAAGACUACCCGCUGAACUUAAGCAUAUCCUAAGCUGGAGGAA